CCAUAGAAAUGUAGUCUGUCUCAUUCCCCCCAGAAGCUGUUUUCUUAGUCUCCUGGCAGCCAGGACUCAACUCUAUAACCCGGCUUUGGAAGUUAUUUGCAUCUGCUCAGCUUUUGGGAUGAAGAGUUGGUGACACAGGAGAGGAGGGACAAUAUCUUUACACUAAGAGUCUGAAUGACUAUAAGCCGGCCAUGCCUGAUUAAUGCUAGGACAUACCUCAUAAAUCAAAAAGAAGAAAUCACGUUCAUACUGAAAUCUUUGCUGUUGUAAGAUUGAUCACCAAGCAGCCGAUCCAAGAUCCACCCCUUGGCUCCGUCUCCCUUGUCUACGUAGAUAUUUCAGACAGAGUGG
rnacentral:lncRNA from 1 species